rnacentral:tRNA from 1 species
GGCAGGGUAGCCUAGUGGUGAGAGCGUUGGGCUAGUAACCGAAAGGUUGCGAGUUCGAAUCCCCGAGCUG